rnacentral:pre_miRNA from 8 species
GUUGUCCUCACUCUCCUGCUGGUCUCGCAGAACAUUCAACGCUGUCGGUGAGUUUUAGACAUUGAAAAACCAUCGACCGUUGACUGUGCCCUGAGGCCACGCCCCUCUUCAGCCUCAUUU